rnacentral:rRNA from 1 species
UACGGAGGGUGCAAGCGUUUAUCGGAAUUACUGGGCGUAAAGCGUGCGCAGGCGGUUUGUUAAGUCUGUUGUGAAAUCCCCGAGCUCAACUUGGGAAUUGCAAUGGAUACUGGCAGGCUGGAGUAUGGUAGAGGAAGGUGGAAUUCCCGGUGUAGCAGUGAAAUGCGUAGAGAUCGGGAGGAACACCAGUGGCGAAGGCGGCCUUCUGGACCAAUACUGACGCUCAUGCACGAAAGCGUGGGGAGCAAACAGG